AGCAGCCGCGGUAAUUCCAGCUCCAAUAGCGUAUAUUAAAGUUGUUGCAGUUAAAAAGCUCGUAGUUGAAUUUCGGGACCAAUCUGCCGGUCGUGCCUCCGGUACGCACUGGCUUUAUUGGUCUCUCCCUUCUGACGAACCAUGAUGUCAUUAAUUUGGUGUCAUGGGGAAUCAGGACUGUUACUUUGAAAAAAUUAGAGUGUUUAUAGCAGGCUCACGCUUGAAUACAUUAGCAUGGAAUAAUGAAAUAGGACAUUUGACCCUAUUUUGUUGGUUUCUAGGAUCGACGUAAUGAUUAAUAGGGAUAGUUGGGGGCAUUAGUAUUCAAUUGUCAGAGGUGAAAUUCUUGGAUUUAUUGAAGACUAACUACUGCGAAAGCAUUUGCCAAGGAUGUUUUCAUUAAUCAAGAACGAAAGUUAGGGGAUCGAAGACGAUCAGAUACCGUCGUAGUCUUAACCAUAAACUAUGCCGACUAGGGAUCGGACGAUGUUAAUUUUUUCAAUGACUCAUUCGGCGCCUU
rnacentral:rRNA from 1 species